UGCCCUAUGGAAAGAACUGAUGUCUCUGGUCAACAGCCCUCAAGAGCUGAUGGCUCAUUUUCCAACAGCCUUCUGAGUGGGCCUCAAAGAGGAUCUUCCUCCAGUAGAGCCUUGAAAUAAGACCACAGAUCUGGCUAACACCUCUCCCACAGGAUUCUGUUUGUGGGCACCUUAGUUUAGAUGAGCUUGAUUUCACAUUAAGAAGUCUGGACUACGAGAAGAGGAACAAAGUCCAUUCAAAUACCCUAAAAAAAAUGCUGGUGAGUGAAAGCUUAUGAACCCUGCCAACUCCCAGGAGAUCAUUUGGGGUCAUCGGCUGACAUUUUCAACAACCUUUUCACCUAUUCAUCACAUUCUUCCACAAGUCCCAGCAUGACCAUCAUGGAGCUGAGAGUGACCUCCUCCUGUCAGCCUGGACCUCAGUCCUAUGACUGCAGAGAAAUGAAUCUGGCCAACAACGACAUGAGUGUGAAGGAGCACCUGAGCUCUAGGAAGAACACAGCCUGGCCAAUAGUGUGAUUGCAACCUUGUGGGCCCUUGAGCCGAGGAACCAGAUAAUCCAUGCCCAGACUCCUGACCCACAGAAGCUGUGAGAUCAUAAAUAUAUGUUGUUAGAAGCUGCCAA